CGCUACCGCCUCUCACAGCGCCUGCGCGACCCCGCCUCCCUGCCGCCCCCGAGCCACCGUCGCGCCUGCGUGCUUACACCCUUCCGCCGCGACCAGUCGCGUCAGCGCGCGAGGGGACCUAGCUCCGCCCAGUUUCGUGCCCCACCCCGGGCACACGAGGCCUCGACUGCGGUUGCGCAGCCUGCCGAAGAGCGUGUGGCUUCUACUGCGGCUGCGCAAGCUCGACGCGCGCACUCUUGUCUGCUUACGAGGGCUCCUCCCUUCAGCUUUGGUCCCUCGGGGCGUCUGGGCAGCCUACGCUUUCCGGAUAAAAACGGCAGAAUGAAAGAAUUAUGAGUGGGACUAGAGAAUAGGAAAGACACGAACCAACGCCCAAAAUGAGAAAGAAGGACAUAUAAAGAAAAAGACAAAUACAAGUGAAAAAAAUAGACUAAUGGAUUAACGUCCCUGUUGUGUGACAUUUUCUUGUAUGACAGCUGAAGAUGUUGAACCCUAUGGUGCAUUUUUGCAAAUAGUGUAUGAAGUGGGUUGUAAGUUUUACCAGUAAUUGUCUAUAGAUACAAAAAGGAGCCAACCUCUUUUUUUUCUUUUAGUGUGAUGUUCCUUGUUCUAUCUUCGAACUCUCAAAGGUAGCCUUUACACAGAUGUUCAAACUAAUUCUACCAGUGUCAUAUGUCUACCAAUCUCAUUACUUCCCUUGUAUGUACUUCUAGAGCAAAGAGCUCAUUACAGUAAGAAUGAUGGUAAAUUUUACUGAGGCAAACAAAGAUUUCUGAACGCGAGCAGUGUGUGUGAAAUGCUUAUGCACUAGCUGAUAGCAUAACUCUGGUCAAAGAAAUUUGGUCACUGAAAUAUUAUAAUUGAACUUAGCCCCUAAAGUAGCUGUUCUUAACCUGGAAUCUGAAGAACGGCCUGUUGGCGCUCCCAGGGAAUUUGUGAACCACUGAAAUUAUAUACAUAAUUUGAUGUCUGUGUACUGUGUACAUUUAUUUUUCUUACUUUUUUUUGAGAUGGAGUUUCGCUCUGUUGCCCAGGCUGGAGUGCAGUGGCACCACCUCAGCUCACUGUAAGCUCCGCCUCCUGGGUUCACACCAUUCUCCUGCCUCAGCCUCCCAAGUAGCUGGGACUACAGGUGCCCACCACCAUGCCCGGCUAAUUUUUUGUAUUUUUAGUAGAGAUGGAGUUUCACCAUGUUAGCCAGGAUGGUCUCAAUCUCCUGACCUCGUGAUCCGCCUGCCUUGGCCUCCCAAAGUGCUGGAAUUACAGGUGUGAGCCACCGUGCCCGGCCCUGUUUUUUCUUUUUUCUUUCUUUUUUUUUUUUUUUUUGAGACUGGAGUUUUGCUCUUGUUGCCCAGGCUGGAGUGCAAUGGCACGAUCUCGGCUUACUGCAACCUCCGCCCCCUGAGUUCAAGCUAUUCUGCCUCAGCCUCCCGAGUAACUGGGAUUACAGGCACCUGCCAUCACGCCCAGCUAAAUUUCUUUUGUAUUUAGUGGAGGCGAGGUUUCACCAUGUUGAUCAGGCUGAUCUUGAACGCCCGACCUCAGGUGAUCCAGCCGCCUUGGCCUCCCAAAGUGCUGGGGUUACAGGCGUGAGCCACCGCUCCCGGCUCAUGUGUACAUUUAUCUAAGGGAGAGGUUUGUAGCUUUCAUUUGCCUUGCUUUCUCUGCGUUUUGCCAUCCCAUUUCUUUUUAUCUUCUGCACAUUCCAGAAUGAUCUUGAUUGAGGAUCUUUCUAUGAAAACUAGAAGUAUUCCCAAGAAUGCUUUAAUUUUGUUAAAUAUCAGGGCGUAGGUUAUAAUAUUGUAUCACUCUGGGACGGACAGGGUUAGGCUUUGGAGUAGAAAGACCCUAGCCUCAAUCCUGCACUUUCUCUGCCACUUACUGUUCUGAACCUUGAGAAAAUGACUUAAUCUCUCAGAGAUUCAGUUUACACUGAAACUCAGUUUUACACAUCUGAAAAAAGAGGACUAUUAAUAUCUGCAACAGAUUUAAGGACUAACAAAUAUGAAGUAUAUAAAGCACCUAUGUUAUCUACUUUACUGGAUACAUAAGUGUUCAGUGAAUGGGAACCAUUUAAAAGCUUACAAAAAGCAGGAACAGUAAUUGAAGAUAUCAAUCUAUAGAGUAACCACUAUGUUUAUUCAUUAUUUGUUACUCUAAUACUUGCAUAAGAACGUAUAUGUGCAUUCAUGCGUGUAUACAUAUUGGCCAUCAUUACCUUUUGUCUGUUGUGUAUAAUACAGAUUCUUGUUCUUCUGUGUCAUCACCAACAUGUAAUAUUGUCAGAAUUUUUAUUUUUUGUCAGUUUAUUGGUUUUAAAACUCUUAUCUUGUGUUCACUUUGCAUUCCUUGCAGGUUGAGGAUGUUUUGUUUUCUGGUCUUAGUCUCAUUCUUCUUUUUCCUAUUGGUCUUGUUCUUUUCUUUUUGAUUUGUAGGGUAUAUUAGGAUGGUGCAAAAGUAAUUGAGGUUUUUGCAUCGUUGAAAUUUGUCAUUUGAUACUGGAAUACCCUCUUAAACCUUCUUAAAUGUGGUUAUGUUAUACAUCAUUUUAAUGGGCAUUUCUGACUUUGUUUUUUUUUUGCUAAUGACUUAUUACUUGCUGUUUAUAUUUAUUUUAGACUAUGGAAAUGAUAUUAGACAAAAAGCAACUUCAAGUGAUUUUCUUAUUUGAGUUCAAAAUGGGUCAUAAUGCAGCAGAGAUAACUUGAAACAUGAACAGUGCAUUUGGCCCAGGAACUACUAACGAACAUAUAGGGCAGCUGUGAUUCAAGAAGUUUUGCAAAGGAGACUAGAGCCUUGAAUAUGAGGAACACAGUGGCCAGCCAUUGGAAGUUGACAACAACUAAUUGAGAGCAAUUGUUGAAGCUGAUCCUCUUACAGCUAUGCAGGAAGUUGCCUAAGAACUCAACGUCGACCAAUCUAUGGUCGUUUGGCAUUUGAAGCAAAUUGGAAAGGUGAGAAAGCUCAAUAAGUGGGUGCCUCAUGAGCUGAGCAAAAAUUUUUAAAAUCGUCAUUUUGAAGUGUCAUCAUCUGUGCAACAACAACAAACCAUUUCUCAAUCAGAUUGUGACGUGCAACGAAAAGUGGAUUUUAUAUGACAACCAGUGAUGACCAGUUCAGUGGUUGGACUGAGAAGCUGCAAAGCACUUCCCAAAGCCAAACUUGCACCAAAGAAAGGUCAUGGUCACUGUUUGGUGCUCUGCUGCCAUUCUGAUGCACUACAACUUUCUGAAUCCCAGCGAAACCAUUACAUCAGAGAUGUAUGCUCAGCAAAUUGAUGAGGUGCACCGAAAACUGAAACACCUGCUGCUGGCAUAGAUCCACAGAAAGGGUCCAAUUCUUUUCUUUUCUUUUUUUUUUUCCGAGACAUAGUCUCACUCUGUCACCCAGGCUGGAGUGCAGUGGUUCAGUUUCGGCUCACUGCAACCUCUGCCUCCCAGGUUCAAACAAUUCUACCUCGCCCUCCCGAGUACCUCAAAUUGCAGGCACCUGCCACCAUGCCUGGCUAAUUUUUGUAUUUUUAGUAGAAGCAGGGUUUCACUAUGUUGGCCAGGCUAGUCUCGAACUCCUGACCUCAAGUGAUCCACCCGCCUCAGCCUCCCAAAGUGCUGGGAUUACAGGCGUGAGUCACUGCGCCUAGCAGGUCCCAAUUCUUCUCCAUGAUAAUGCCCAACUGCAUGUUGCACAACCAGUGCUUCAGAAGUUGAAGGAAUUGGUCUAUGAAAUUUUGCCUCAUCUGCCAGAUUCACCUGACUUCUUGCAAACCAACUACCACUUCUUGAAGCAUCUUGACAGGUUUUUGCAGGUGAAAUGCUUCCACACCAGCAGGAAGCAGAAAAAUGCUUUCCAAGAGUUUGUUGAAUCCAGAAGCAUGGAUGUUUAUGCUGCAGGAAUAAACAAAUUUAUUUCUCGUUGGCAAAAAUGUGUUGAUUGUAAUGGUUCCUAUUUUGAUUAAUAAAGAUGUGUUUGAGCCUAGUUAAUGAUUUAAAAUUAAUGGUCCAAAAAUGCAAUUACUUUUGCACCACCACUAACACACACACACACACCUACACAUUCUGGAUUUGAAUUCCAUGUUGAUUAUGUGCACUUGGAAUAUUUCUUUUCCAUCUGUGGAUUGUUCUGUCACUUAUUUUCUUUAAUAAAUGGGUUUCUGAACCUCUGUUGUAUUGACA